rnacentral:sRNA from 1 species
UUGAAAACCAUACUCAACCAUCCUAUCAAUCAAAACCAAAGCUUCAGACACUCUACCCUUUAGACAAAGUCCAUUGAUCAGAGUGCUAACGGUUACAAGAUCCGGUCUUUGCUUCAUUUCCACCAUCCGAUCAACUAACGCAACCGCUUCAGAAACUCUACCCUCGAGGCAAAACCCGU